rnacentral:rRNA from 1 species
GAUGAACGCUGGCGGCGUGCCUAAUACAUGCAAGUCGAGCGAACGGACGAGAAGCUUGCUUCUCUGAUGUUAGCGGCGGACGGGUGAGUAACACGUGGAUAACCUACCUAUAAGACUGGGAUAACUUCGGGAAAACGGCAGCUAUCACCGAAUAAUUUUUGCAACGGCUGGUUUAAAAGGUAAAAGAGGGUUUUGUGGCUCUUUUCGGAGGGUCCCGCGCUGUUUUAGCUGGUGGGUAAGGUAAGGGCUUACCAGGGCAACGAGCCUUAGCCGACCUGAGAGGGUGAUCGGCCACACUGGAACUGGGACACGGACCAGGCUCCUACGGGAGGCAGCAGUAGGGAAUCUGCCGCAGUGGGCGGAAGCCUGACGGAGCGACGCCGCGUGAGUGGUGGAGGUCUUCGGAUCGUAAUACUCUGUUAUUAGGGAAGAACAUAUGUGUAAGGAGCUGUGGACAUCUUGACGGUACCGAAUCAGAAAGCCACGGCUAACUACGUG